rnacentral:rRNA from 1 species
AAUGAACGCUGGCGGCAUGCCUAACACAUGCAAGUCGAACGAGAUGCUGACUUCGGUUGGUAUCUAGUGGCGCACGGGUGCGUAACGCGUGGGAAUCUGCCCUUGGGUUCGGAAUAACAGUGAGAAAUUACUGCUAAUACCGGAUAAUGACGUAAGUCCAAAGAUUUAUCGCCCAGGGAUGAGCCCGCGUAAGAUUAGCUAGUUGGUGGGGUAAAGGCCUACCAAGGCGACGAUCUUUAGCUGGUCUGAGAGGAUGAUCAGCCACACUGGGACUGAGACACGGCCCAGACUCCUACGGGAGGCAGCAGUGGGGAAUAUUGGACAAUGGGCGCAAGCCUGAUCCAGCAAUGCCGCGUGAGUGAUGAAGG